CAUCGACGUAGGGCACACAGCGGCCGGAAAGGUCCCUGCAGCACACCUUGCAGGAGUUGUCAGUUUCUGGAACAGAGAACACGCAUUGACAGCUGGAUUGUUCUGAGACCUGCCUCUCCUCCUGCCUCCUCUUUCCUCCCUGACCAUGCUCCCAAAGAGCCUGCCAUAUGGCCUGAAACUGCAGCAAGAAGAAACACCAACAGGCUAGGUCUCCCAGGUAUGGUGGAUCUGCAUGCAGAGAUGCCUGUCUCCAGACACCACCCUGCCCUUCCCCGUCCCCUCAUCCUCGGCUUGCAUCUCACCACUGCUGUCAUUAGCACGACCUCCAAAUGGAGGAAGGGAGCCUGGCAGACAAAGGCCAUGUUUUCUCCUGCUGCUGGACUGGGCAUAAAACUGCUCACCAUUACAUGCACAGGACUCCAGCUGCUGUUCCCUCUCGCAGAAAGGGAUGCAUUUCCCAUCCUUACACUUGCCAAGAUCCAAGCAAACAGUGUCAUCUUCAGCAUUUCCCGGAGGCGGGCACUCACUGCUAUUACCUGGAAGCAAACACCAGUCAUAACAAAGAAUGAGUCACAGGUCCACCAGUUCUACAGGUGCAUAAUACGCUGUUUCUCAUACAAGUGAGCAUCUUACCUUGCAAAAGCAAAAAGUGACCUACAGAGCUAGGACAAGAGCCUGCAUCUCACCAGCAAUCAGCAUUUAAAUGGGAGUGCCUGGCUAUGUGCCAGGCUAGGCUGCACGAGUCCCUGGCCUCCCAAGCCCCAGUUAGAAUGCAUGGUCUCCACUUCUGCAUCUCACAGUCAUAUAUAAAAGAAUAUCCUAUGUGCUAUUACUUAGAAUAAAUUGCAAACUUUGUAUGAA